rnacentral:rRNA from 1 species
GACGUAGGGCGCGAGCGUUGUCCGGAUUUAUUGGGCGUAAAGAGCUCGUAGGCGGUUUGGCAAGUCGGGUGUGAAAACUCCGGGCUCAACCCGGAGACGCCACUCGAUACUGCUAUGACUUGAGUCCGGUAGGGGAGUGCGGAAUUCCUGGUGUAGCGGUGAAAUGCGCAGAUAUCAGGAGGAACACCGGUGGCGAAGGCGGCACUCUGGGCCGGUACUGACGCUGAGGAGCGAAAGCGUGGGGAGCGAACAGG